rnacentral:lncRNA from 1 species
CAUGUCACCACAGUGGUGACCCUUCUCUCUGACUCAUUUCCCAUUAUGAGCACAAUUAGCGUGCAGCAUGUGUCCUGGGAGAUUAAUGAUCCGCUGGAGGGAAGAAAGAGGAACUUGGGGAAUGGAUCUGGGUGUAGUCAGAGCUCGCCUCUCCCUGGGAGCUGCCUUGGUGCUGUAAAGGAUCUCAUGUCUUUUGCCAGCUUUGAUGAAACUUGCUAGUUGGAAAGCAGAGUGAAAUCUCAGGCUCUACAACUCUUGACAUAAGUAUUUUAUUCAUUUUUGGUGUCUAUGUUCUUGAAGUACUUAAGAGAUUUGGGGCUAUGCAAGUAAUAGACCAACUUUGUGAUUCAUAUUAAAAUUAAGUGAUUUAAACGCAGGAUUUUUAAUUUGAAAUUAUUUAAGUUUAUAAACAGUAUGGGAACAUUUAGAAAGACCUGGAUUCAUUCUGUUUAUAAUUGUAAUCCAUUAAAUUUAUGAAAAUUACCUAAGAAAUCUGAAAAGGUUUGGUUUAGCCAUCAGGCAAUUGAAGUACCUAAACAAGGAAAUAAAAUAUAUUAAAUUUAUAAAUCUUACUUUAAAUGUUUGAAUGAGUUAAAUAACUCCGUUUGUAUUGGGACCAAACUCUUUAACUCUUUAAGACUGCCUUAAAUCAUUUUGUUAAAAAUCUUAGAUUGAUUUCCACUUCUAUGUAGAGAGUUAGAAAGUAUAUCACCUCUACCCUAACAACAAGAAUAUGACAAAUGAAAUACAAAAUGAUAAUGUUCCUUGAACUCAUCAGAGGACUGACAUCACAGGGCAACUAAGCAACUAGAAUUCCAAAGAAGGACAAGCCCCUCCAAAGACAGGAAGCAUGAGGGCAGGCUCAUCAGUGUCAGAGCAGGGGAGACCAGCACAGACACCUUACAAGCAGGUAAGAAAAUGGAGGCUCCCAGAGAUUUGACAACCUGCCCGCAGCAAUGACCAAAUCAGACUUGGUGCUAAGUCUGCACCUCCCCAAAGAACUGGAUGACAAAAAGAAGAGCCGAUAUAACCAGGAACCUACUCUGGCCACCCCAAGUGCUCCGCAUCAAGACUCAGCUGCAGAGAUGACUUCAGUGCAAGUCACAUACACACCAUUGGGCUGGUACCCGUGGCAGCUCUGCAGGGCUUCCAUAUUGGUCAUGGAUUUGGAUGGUGAGAAGAGCUGAGACAGACGGCACAGGUUCUCAGGAUGCUUGAGGCAGGCUGAGCUCCACGAGCAGAGACCAGGCUGAUGCAUGCUCCACAUCUUGCAUGCUUUGCUUAAAGAAUGAGCGAAAGGAGUAAAUGAAAUUGGUUCUUUCAAAGCAACAAGAACAUUUGUGACAUAUCUGCUAAGGUGGUGAGGGACAAAGAUGAAGGACUGCAGAGCUGUCUCAUAGGCUCCUUUGAGCAAAGCAUUCCUCCUCCAGGUAAAGUGACAAAUGAAUUUGCUCAGACAACACUCUGCCUCCCGUGUUUUCC